rnacentral:rRNA from 2 species
GGAUGCGAUCAUACCAGCACUAAAGCACCGUAUCCCAUCAGAACUCCGUAGUUAAGCGUGCUUGGGCGAGAGUAGUACUAGAAUGGGUGACCUCCUGGGAAGUCCUCGUGUUGCAUUCC